GACGAACGCUGGCGGCGUGCUUAACACAUGCAAGUCGCACGAAUUGAGGAGGGCUUGCUCUCCGAGGUUAGUGGCGAACGGGUGCGUAACACGUGAGGAAUCUGUCCAUCGGCGGGGGAUAGCCGGCCCAACGGCCGGGUAAUACCGCGUACGUCGGCGGUGGCGCAUGUCACUGCCGGGAAAGCAGCAAUGCACCGAUGGAGGACCUCGCGGCCUAUCAGCUUGUUGGCGGGGUAAUGGCCCACCAAGGCGACGACGGGUAGCUGGUCUGAGAGGAUGAUCAGCCACAUUGGGACUGAGACACGGCCCAGACUCCUACGGGAGGCAGCAGUGGGGAAUAUUGCGCAAUGGGCGAAAGCCUGACGCAGCGACGCCGCGUGCGGGAUGACGGCCUCGGUUGUAACCGCUGUCGGGGGGACGGAAGAGUCUGACGGUACCCCCGAAGGAACGCACCGGCUAACUCUGUGCCAGCAGCCGCGG
rnacentral:rRNA from 1 species